rnacentral:rRNA from 1 species
CGGGGUGCAGCAGGCGCGAAGACUUUGCAAUGCGGGAAACCGUGACAAGGGAACUCUGAGUGCCCGUUAAAUCGGGCUGUCCAUCGGUUUAAAUAACCGGUGAAGAAAGGGCCGGGCAAGACCGGUGCCAGCCGCCGCGGUAAUACCGGCGGCUCGAGUGGUGGCCACUAUUACUGGGCUUAAAGCGUUCGUAGCUGGUUUGUUAAGUCUCUGGGGAAAUCUUCCGGCUUAACCGGAAGGCGUCUCAGGGAUACUGGCAGACUAGGGACCGGGAGAGGUGAGAGGUACUCCAGGGGUAGGAGUGAAAUCCUGUAAUCCUUGGGGGACCACCUGUGGCGAAGGCGUCUCACCAGAACGGCUCCGACAGUGAGGGACGAAAGCUGGGGGAGCAAACCGGAUUAGAUACCCGGGUAGUCCCAGCUGUAAACGAUGCGCGUUAGGUGUAUCGGUGACCACGAGUCACCGAGGUGCCGAAGAGAAAUCGUGAAACGUGCCGCCUGGGAAGUACGGUCGCAAGGCUGAGACUUAAAGGAAUUGG